CAACCACAUAGUUACUGUCUUCCGGUACUCAAAAGGGAAACCCAUAGACAAGCAAUUGUUUCAGCUGUGACUAGUGGGAGUAAAAGAUUUUUCCUUGGGACUGAUAGUGCUCCUCAUGAGAGAAAGAAAAAAGAAUGUCCUUGUGGAUGUGCUGGAAUUUAUAAUGCUCCUGUUGCAUUGUCACUGUAUGCCAAGAUUUUUGAAGAGGCUGGCGCGCUUGAUAAGCUAGAGGCAUUUACAAGCUUUAAUGGACCAGACUUCUAUGGACUUCCAAGGAACACAUCACAUAUCAAGUUGAAGAAGACCCCAUGGAAGGUGCCAGAAUCUUAUUCUUUUUCAUUUGGAGACAUCGUACCAAUGUUUGCAGGAGAGACGCUUGAGUGGCAGUCCUUCUGUGUCUGAUUUCAUUUUUCAUUGCAAGAGAAAAUAAUUUAUGGUUUUCUUAUUCGUCAACCUUACUGCAUAAAAUGAAGGUUGGCACUUGUAGAUGUUUAAUUCAACUCUUUCUUGUUCCUUCUUUCAUUAUUUUUUUCCCCAUAAAAUGCACUUAAUCAGGGAAGUAGUCCCCCCC
rnacentral:misc_RNA from 1 species